rnacentral:rRNA from 1 species
AUUGAACGCUGGCGGCAGGCCUAACACAUGCAAGUCGAGCGGAUGAAGGGAGCUUGCUCCUGGAUUCAGCGGCGGACGGGUGAGUAAUGCCUAGGAAUCUGCCUGGUAGUGGGGGAUAACGUCCGGAAACGGGCGCUAAUACCGCAUACGUCCUGAGGGAGAAAGUGGGGGAUCUUCGGACCUCACGCUAUCAGAUGAGCCUAGGUCGGAUUAGCUAGUUGGUGGGGUAAAGGCCUACCAAGGCGACGAUCCGUAACUGGUCUGAGAGGAUGAUCAGUCACACUGGAACUGAGACACGGUCACGACUCCUAAGGGAGGCAGCAGUGGGGAAUAUUGGACAAUGGGCGAAAGCCUGAUCCAGCCAUGCCGCGUGUGUGAAGAAGGUCUUCGGAUUGUAAAGCACUUUAAGUUGGGAGGAAGGGCAGUAAGUUAAUACCUUGCUGUUUUGACGUUACCAACAGAAUAAGCACCGGCUAACUUCGUG